CUCGGCACUGGUUUGGCACAAGACUUCCCGAGCAGGACAAGUAACCCACAAAAUGUAGCCAGUAUCCAGGGCUGCUCACAGCUUUGCUUCUUGUUAAGGAAGAUGAUGGUCUUAAAAUGGUUUUACCACAAGAAACUUCCCCUACAUGGAAUAUACCUGUUGCUUUCCCCUGAGGCCUCACACUGCCACUUUGAGGAGUAUAAUGAUAGAUCCAGAGGGUUUACCACAGAUCAUGGGGAGACAAUACAGAUUUGUUAAGAGACAAGCUUUCACAGCCAGAUGUGUCAUAAAUAUACCUAAUGAAGGGUCUUGAGAUGGCCAGGACAGUGCGGAUGAACCAUGUUGGCAUCUCUUCAGCCAGCUGAUGCCAGGCAUCUUUCUGCGAGGAGUUGCUCCAUUCAGGUACGGCCUGAUGACCUGCAUAUCGAUCCGUUGCUCCUGGUCGCCAAUGAUCACUGUUCGCCACAGACGACCUGACGAGUCUCUCUCCUCUUCGCUCUCACCUGGGAGACGCUUAGCAGUAGCCACAGCAUCUUGCCUGAGGAUACUUUGGCUGACUGGAAUUGCCUCGGAUCAAACUACCAUCUUUCCAGUUAGUAGCUGACCUGCUCCACCUCAGAGGCAAAAAAGGUCCAUAUUUGUCAAUGUAAACAACAAUAUUGCCAAAGUUACUGCACAUAACCUGGUGCAAUUCAAAUUUUCUCUUCUUUGUAAAAUCGAAUAUCAUGAAAUCCUGAAUUUUUCCACCUCAUUUACAAUGCAGGCUUACUCUUCAGCACACCUUUAUACUAAAUAUGUGGUAUUGGCUUGUUCAGACAGCUCAGAAGCCACACCAACAACAACACACAAUACAACUACUCAACAUGACUGACAGAGACAACGCCUUUAAACGGAACAUAGAAAAAGCGCUGACAUCACUGCAUGGCUGAAGCACGCGAUCAAAAAUAUGUUACCAGAGAGCAAAAAUAUCUGCUCCCCUCGGAUGUGACCUUCUUGCUUUGCUAAAAUUUAAUAAACAAACAAAAAAACCUGCUCAGCUGGGUAAAAACCCAUCCCAAAAGGAUACACAGACCCAGCAGCUAUUUGUUUUAAACCAGCACAAUCCAUCAAAGCUGGAAGCACAGAUUUAGAACAAGAAAAUCCAGAGGAAAAAUGACUAAAAGGGAUGUGAAGAAUGAGAAGCAGCAAAGGAUACACCAAAGGGCUCCUAACCAAAGCCCCUGCAGAGGGGGACAAAAAGCUACUACUGCUUAGAAAAAGCUGUAACAUCUGGACCUGAGCUGAUCACUGACUGUGCUUACAUUCAUGUAGUGCACAGACACCUUAUACCUGGGACCUGAAGGAUCAAAUGUAACCCCUCACUAGACUGUAAAACUGCCAGAGCUCCAGAGCAACACAAGAGUUGGGAUUGAUAAUGUUAGAGCCACCAGCCUUAAAUUAGUGUUAAGGCUAAUUUUAACUCUCUUCGGCUUUUCUCCUUUAUUUAAAUCAACACACAGUACAAUGUAAUAUCAUGUUUUAUUGUUAUACUUUGCCUUUUGUGAGAGUACCCAGCAUUCCCUUUUUUUAGAGUGUGUGUCAUUGUUUUCAUUGUUAUACUGUGUGUGUUUAAUAGUUAUUGUGUUGUUUUUAGCUUGUGGAAAGAAAUAUGCCUCUAUUCUACAUUUGUUCUGGUUUAUUACAACUACCAUAUAAAACUAUAUCAUUGCAAAAAGAUUA